rnacentral:rRNA from 1 species
UGGGUAACCUGCCCAAGAGACUGGGAUAACACCUGGAAACAGAUGCUAAUACCGGAUAACAACACUAGACGCAUGUCUAGAGUUUAAAAGAUGGUUCUGCUAUCACUCUUGGAUGGACCUGCGGUGCAUUAGCUAGUUGGUAAGGUAACGGCUUACCAAGGCAAUGAUGCAUAGCCGAGUUGAGAGACUGAUCGGCCACAUUGGGACUGAGACACGGUCCAAACUCCUACGGGAGGCAGCGGA